rnacentral:rRNA from 1 species
AGUGAACGCUGGCGGUAGGCCUAACACAUGCAAGUCGAACGGCAGCACAGUAAGAGCUUGCUCUUACGGGUGGCGAGUGGCGGACGGGUGAGGAAUACAUCGGAAUCUACUUUUUCGUGGGGGAUAACGUAGGGAAACUUACGCUAAUACCGCAUACGACCUACGGGUGAAAGCAGGGGAUCUUCGGACCUUGCGCGAUUGAAUGAGCCGAUGUCGGAUUAGCUAGUUGGCGGGGUAAAGGCCCACCAAGGCGACGAUCCGUAGCUGGUCUGAGAGGAUGAUCGGCCACACUGGAACUGAGACACGGUCCAGACCCCUACGGGAGGCAGCAGUGGGGAAUAUUGGACAAUGGGCGCAAGCCUGAUCCAGCCAUACCGCGUGGGUGAAGAAGGCCUUCGGGUUGUAAAGCCCUUUUGUUGGGAAAGAAAAGCAGCAGGUUAAUACCCCGCUGUUCUGACGGUACCCAAAGAAUAAGCACCGGCUAACUUCGUG